GUGAGGAAUUUUCCGGAAUGGGCGAAAGCCUGACGGAGCAAUGCCGCGUGAAGGAUGAAGGCCUAUGGGUUGUAAACUUCUUUUCUCAGAAAAGAAUUAUGACGGUAUCUGAGGAAUAAGCAUCGGCUAACUCUGUGCCAGCAGCCGCGGUAAGACAGAGGAUGCAAGCGUUAUCCGGAAUGAUUGGGCGUAAAGCGUCUGUAGGUUGUUUAAAAAGUAUUCUGUCAAAGAUUAGGGCUUAACCCUAGAUAGGCAGAAUAAACUUUUAAGCUAGAGUUUGGUAGAGGCAGAGGGAAUUCCCGGUGGAGCGGUGAAAUGCGUAGAUAUCGGGAGGAACACCAAAGGCGAAGGCACUCUGCUGGGCCAAUACUAACACUGAGAGACGAAAGCGAGGGGAGCAAAUGGGAUUAGAAACCCCAGUAGUCC
rnacentral:rRNA from 1 species